rnacentral:lncRNA from 1 species
AUGUGCGGCAUAUGCACAUUAAGUUGAAGGAAAAUUGGACCCUAGAGCUACUAAGUGUGUGAUGCUUGGGUACCCGGAAGGUGUAAAGAGGUACCGGUUGUGGGUGUCAGGCGUUCAAGGCAUUAAAAUCAUUAAUAGUAGAAAUGUGGUUUUCAAUGAAUCCGAAAUGUCAUGCCUAAAGAAAAAAAUUGAUAAUUCGAAAGAGCAAAUCAAUGAGACUACUUCACGGAAGAGGUGAAGCUAACAAGGCUAAAUCCCACUCAACAUGAAAAUAUUGAUGAGCGUGUUCAACAAUCUGAUGAAAAUGUUGUUGACACGGAUGAAGGUGAAGUAGGUCCGAGUGAAGUCAAAACUGAAAUUGAAAAUCCAAAUGUUCCCACUAUUGAAACAAGUGCUCAAGAUUAUCAAUUGGUGAGAGAUAGGGAAAGAAGGCAAAUUAAACCAAAUCCAAGAUAUGAAAUAAAUAAUUUGACCGACUUUGCCCUUAUCUCGGGUGAAUCUUUAGAGUAUUCAGAACCUUCAUCAUAUGAAGAGGCUAUGAAUAGCUCUAACUCUGAAAAAUGAAAAGAUGCAAUAAAAGAAGAAAUGAAAUCUUUACUUGAAAACAACACGUGGAAAUUAGUAAACAAACCGAAAAAUCAAAGAGUUGUUUAAUGUAAAUGGUUUUUCAAACUAAAAGAAGGGAUUGUGUCAUCUGACCCUUUGAGAUAUAAAGUGAGG